rnacentral:rRNA from 1 species
GACGAACCGUGCGAACGUUGUUCGGAAUCACUGGGCUUAAAGGGCGCGUAGGCGGCAGUUCAAGUCCGGGGUGAAAUCCUCCAGCUCAACUGGAGAAGUGCCUUGGAUACUGAAUUGCUCGAGGGAGGUAGGGGUCGAGGGAACUUCUGGUGGAGCGGUGAAAUGCGUUGAUAUCAGAAGGAACGCCGGUGGCGAAAGCGCUCGACUGGACCUUUUCUGACGCUGAGGCGCGAAAGCUAGGGGAGCAAACGGG